GAUGAACGCUGGCGGCGUGCCUAAUACAUGCAAGUCGAGCGAACAGACGAGGAGCUUGCUCCUCUGACGUUAGCGGCGGACGGGUGAGUAACACGUGGAUAACCUACCUAUAAGACUGGGAUAACUUCGGGAAACCGGAGCUAAUACCGGAUAAUAUUUUGAACCGCAUGGUUCAAUAGUGAAAGACGGUUUUGCUGUCACUUAUAGAUGGAUCCGCGCCGCAUUAGCUAGUUGGUAAGGUAACGGCUUACCAAGGCAACGAUGCGUAGCCGACCUGAGAGGGGGAUCGGCCACACUGGAACUGAGACACGGUCCAGACUCCUACGGGAGGCAGCAGUAGGGAAUCUUCCGCAAUGGGCGAAAGCUUGACGGAGCAACGCCGCGUGAGUGAUGAAGGUCUUCGGAUCGUAAAACUCUGUUAUUAGGGAAGAACAAAUGUGUAAGUAACUAUGCACGUCUUGACGGUACCUAAUCAGAAAGCCACGGCUAACUACGUG
rnacentral:rRNA from 1 species